rnacentral:rRNA from 1 species
AUUGAACGCUGGCGGCAGGCCUAACACAUGCAAGUCGAACGAGUGGCGGACGGGUGAGUAAUGUCUGGGAAACUGCCUGAUGGAGGGGGAUAACUACUGGAAACGGUAGCUAAUACCGCGUACCAUCGGAUGAGCCAAAGUGGGAGUAGGUAGUUGGUGAGGUAAAGGCUCACAAAGCCGACGAGCUCUAGCUGGUCUGAGAGGAGGACCGGCGACACUGGGACUGAGACAUGGCCCAGACUCCUACGGGAGGCAGCAGUGGGGAAUAGUGCGCAAUGGGGGCAAGCCUGACGCAGCCAUGCCGCGUGAGUGAAGAAGGCCUUCGGGUUGUAAAGUUCCUUCGGUAGCGAAGCGUUAACUACAGAAGAAGCACCGGCUAACUCCGUGCCAGCAGCCGCGGUAAUUC